rnacentral:rRNA from 1 species
UUACCAGACUCCUACGGGAGGCAGCAGUGGGGAAUAUUGGACAAUGGGGGGAACCCUGAUCCAGCGACGCCGCGUGAGUGAAGAAGUAUUUCGGUCUGUAAAGCUCUAUCAGCAGGGAAGAAAGAAAUGACGGUACCUGACUAAGAAGCCCCGGCUAACUACGUGCCAGCAGCCGCGGUAAUACGUAGGGGGCAAGCGUUAUCCGGAUUUACUGGGUGUAAAGGGGGCGCAGACGGCAGCGCAAGCCAGGAGUGAAAGCCCGGGGCCCAACCCCGGGACUGCUCUGGAAACUGCGGCGCUGGAGUACGGGAGGGGCAGGCGGAAUUCCUGGUGUAGCGGUGAAAUGCGGAGAUAUCAGGAGGAACGCCGGCGGCGAAGGCGGCCUGCUGGACCGUGACUGACGUUGAGGCUCGAGAGCGUGGGGAGCAAACAGGAUUAGAUACCCCUGUAC